rnacentral:rRNA from 1 species
UAGGGAAUCUUCCGCAAUGGGCGAAAGCCUGUCGGAGCAACGCCGCGUGAGUGAUGAAGGUCUUCGGAUCGUAAAACUCUGUUAUUAGGGAAGAACAAAUGUGUAAGUAACUAUGCACGUCUUGACGGUACCUAAUCAGAAAGCCACGGCUAACUACGUGCCAGCAGCCGCGGUAAUACGUAGGUGGCAAGCGUUAUCCGGAAUUAUUGGGCGUAAAGCGCGCGUAGGCGGUUUUUUAAGUCUGAUGUGAAAGCCCACGGCUCAACCGUGGAGGGUCAUUGGAAACUGGAAAACUUGAGGGCAGAAGAGGAAAGUGGAAUUCCAUGUGGAGCGGUGAAAUGCGCAGAGAUAUGGAGGAACACCAGUGGCGAAGGCGGCUGUCUGGUCUGUAACUGACGCUGAUGUGCGAAAGCGUGGGGAUCAAACAGG